GUUAAAGUGGCAGAGACCAGUAAUUGCAUGAAACUUAAGAUUUCAAGAUCAGAGGUUCAACUCCUCUCUUUAACA
rnacentral:tRNA from 1 species